UUGGAGGGCAAGUCUGGUGCCAGCAGCCGCGGUAAUUCCAGCUCCAAUAGCGUAUAUUAAAGUUGUUGCAGUUAAAAAGCUCGUAGUUGAAUUUCGGGAUUGGCACAUCGGUCGUGCCUUAAGGGGCAUGAACUGGUGUAGCCAAUUUCUCACCUUCUGGAGAACCGCGAUGUCCUUAAUUGGGUGCCGCGAGGAACCAGGACCUUUACUUUGAAGAAAUUAGAGUGUUUAAAGCAGGCAUUUUGCUUGAAUACAUUAGCAUGGAAUAAUAAAAUAGGACGGAUGAUUCUAUUUUGUUGGUUUCUAGGACCACCGUAAUGAUUAAUAGGGAUAGUUGGGGGCAUUAGUAUUCAAUUGUCAGAGGUGGAAUUCUUGGAUUUAUUGAAGACUAACUACUGCGAAAGCAUUUGCCAAGGAUGUUUUCAUUAAUCAAGAACGAAAGUUAGGGGAUCGAAGACGAUCAGAUACCGUCGUAGUCUUAACCAUAAACUAUGCCGACUAGGAAUCAGACGAUGUUAAUUUUUUAAUGACUCGUUUGGCACCUUACGGGAAACCAAAGUGUUUGGGUUC
rnacentral:rRNA from 1 species